UACGGAGGGUGCAAGCGUUAUCCGGAUUUACUGGGUUUAAAGGGUGUGUAGGCGGACUUUUAAGUCAGCGGUGAAAUCUCCGGGCUCAACCCGGGAACUGCCAUUGAUACUAUUUGUCUUGAAUGUUGUUGAGGUGGGCGGAACGGGUCAUGUAGCGGUGAAAUGCAUAGAUAUGACCCGGAACACCGAUUGCGAAGGCAGCCCACUAAGCAACGAUUGACGCUGAGGCACGAAAGCGUGGGGAUCAAACAGG
rnacentral:rRNA from 1 species